rnacentral:ncRNA from 1 species
UGAUGAGGGGUGCUCGGUGGAACCGGGCUGAGAGUCGGCUGUCCUUGCCGUAACCCAUACACCUGAUUUGGAUAAUGCCAACGUAGGGAAGAGA